rnacentral:rRNA from 1 species
UACGUAGGCAGCGAGCGUUGUUCGGAGUUACUGGGCGUAAAGAGUGCGUAGGCGGUUUUCUAAGUUUGGUGUGAAAUCUCCCGGCUUAACUGGGAGGGUGCGCCGAGAACUGGAAGGCUUGAGUAUGGGAGAGGUAAGCGGAAUUCCUGGUGUAGCGGUGAAAUGCGCAGAUAUCAGGAGGAACACCGGUGGCGAAGGCGGAUCUCUGGGCCUUACCUGACGCUGAGGCGCGAAAGCUAGGGGAGCAAACAGG